CACUUGAUGAAGCCAACUGUGGAGCAACUGCAGUCAGUGAAGUACUGUCAGACAGGGACUGACACUGGGAAGUUAAAGGGCUAUUUAACACGUACACAUUGUAACGUUCAGUAUCUACGGUUCGUGGCUGUACGUCUUUGUUGGGCCAUAAUGUUCCGGGAGGUGAUGUUGCUUUGGUUGGUGAAAACACAGGACUGAUCCUCAUCACAGACAGCAGCAGAUGACUCCAGCUCCAACGUCCUUCGCCUCUUUCCAUGCAGCCCAGGUCCUGGGCUGGAUCUACCCUGCCCUCCUCUGGCUGCCCCACUUCUGUCCUGCCACAGCUAUAUAGGAACAACUCACAGUUAAUGCAGCAUGUAGCUAAUCCGGAGUACGGCUCUGCCUUUGUGUUAGCUGGGCAAACUGAAGCGUUCACACUGUAGCCACUGAGCAGGAAGCGGCAACUUUUAUUAAGCAUGGCAGAGGGGCUGUGGGGAGAGCGGAGAGAUGCUGGGUACUACAUCACACAUCAGCUCUGCGCUCGAUGCUACAGCCAGAAAACGCUCAGCUGCAAUGCUGGUAGCAGCGGAGAACGACAGGUCCCUUGCUGUACAGCAAAUGCCAUAUUAAAUCCCCUCAGCACCACACCAGCUAAAUCCUGAUGCAUGUCGGUGAUGAAAAAAGGAAAGAUAUCUUUUGCACAAAAGUGAAAUCAUUCGAAACACUAAUAAUCUGCAGCCCUCGUAGAAACACUGACCCUGAAUGUAUAACGCUGCACCAUCUGCUUCAUGCUUGUGCACUCACUCUGGGUCUGUGCUGCAGUUUAUUACACCAAAGCCCUCCGUCCGUGCUUACGCAGUCACUGUGGUUAGGUAAUGCAGAACCCGAGAGAUGAUGGCAGUGACGACCGUCGCACCGUGCAUCACAGCAGAUACAGGACAGAUGUUCAGCAAUGCUUUUUUCUCACAGUUUCAGUGACUGUGAGAAGCUGAAUGUGACGAUGAAGGGAAUAAACAGAGAGUCCUGCGAUCAGCAGGGACUCUGGGUAUAUACCUAUAUAGAGGCUGCUGCUGGAUGCAAAAGCAGCAGAUGCGUCAGCACUGCAGACGAGGGGGAGGGGAGGAAGCUGAACCCGACAUGGCACUGUGAGCCUCUCACUAGCGUCUGAGGACGGAAGCAGCUCUUAUAUUUACAUUACUGAGUGUGAAGUCCUGGGGCUUUGAGGGUCUUCUCGUCAUACAAGCUGAAACCAGCUUCAUACAAGUUUCAAAGACAAAUGAUUUAAUGUCAUUUCAAAGACAAAGUAGCAGGUGUUACUCUAAAAGAUGAAACCUGCUAUUCAUGUUGUAGUAUUUUGUGCCCUUGUCUCUACAAUAUGCUUGGUGGUGUCUUUUUAUCAUAGGUGCUGUGGUGUCCUCUUCUCAUUUCCUGUGUUUGGUUCAUCAUCACUGUUGUUUCAUCAAUACACAAUUAACCACAGGCUCAGACUUCAAUUUUUUUUAUUCUGACAGCAAAACUUUCUUCCUUGAAGACCCCUACAUUAGACCUGGGGAGCAGCCGUUGUGCCAGCCUGAUUAAUUUGUCACUUGCUUCUAUAAUCUGUCACACUGGAUCACAUUAGUUUGAAAACCAAAAGAAAUAUGAUAUUAGCAUUGAAAUGGUUAAGUUUUCUGAUUUUAGCUAAAUCUUUUAGGUGGCAUGAUGUGCUGCAUUCUACACACCAGUAUAGUUUCAAACUGCUCAUCCUCUACAGAAGUUUUUCCAUCUCUACAAACCCACACCUUAAUCUUAUCUAUCACAAAUAGUGUUUACUCACAUUCAUAACUUAAAGGCCUUUUUUUUAUUUUACUGUUUUUCUGUUGUGAAUAUCACUAAAUCAAAA